UUGAAGUGUUGUUGAUAUGUGUAGUUAGCCUCUCUCUUUCUCUCUCUCCCUCGCCAUCCUCUGAACCGCCUUCCCAGACAUGUUUGGAGUUCGUCGUUCCUUGGGGAUUGUCUCUAAUGCUCUCCUUCCUCGCUUUGAAUCAUUAUCAGUUUAGAGUGUUUGUAUGAGGUGAAGGAAUGUGUGGAUGAUACGUGCAGAUCCAGUCGAUUCAUUUAGGAGCAGGUAUGGAGAUCCCCGAUAGCAAACCACUCAAAUUUGCACUUCAGUACAUCAAUGGAAUUGGCCGAGCGAGAGCAAACCAAGUUCUUGCCCAGCUACACUUGGAAAACAAGCUUUCCAAAGAUUUGACUAAAAAAGAGCUCAUUUUUCUUGCAGACGAAAUUUCCAAGUACACGGUUGGACAUGAGCUGGAUAAAUGUGUUCAAAGGGACAUUGGUAGGUUGCAGGACAUUCAGUGCCAUAGAGGGAUUAGGCAUGAGCAAGGAUUACCAUGUAGAGGCCAACGAACGAAGACUAAUGCUAGGACUGUGAAGUCGAAACAGACCCGUGUUGGAAAGAGGAAAGCCUUUCAUUGAGCAAACAGUUUUGCAAUUUCUCCUCUCUUCUUGCAUUCUUGAACUGAUUGAUUAUAAACAUAUUUGGAUUUCAACCAAGUUUCAUGAUUUCUCUUUUAGUCCCAAUAUUUUGUUUAGGGUUCAUUUAGUGAAGAAUUCAUUAUUGGAUGGGGAUGAAUGGCUUUAGAAACGUUUCAAAUGUUUGUAACCAAUGAAAAUUGCUUAAUGAUUUCAUGUCCAACUAUUGCAGUUUGCAUUGUUGUGUAUGUUCA